CAACGGGGUUUCGGGGCUGUGGACCCUGUGCCAGGAAAGGAAGGGCGCAGCUCCUGCAAUGCGGAGCGGCCAGGGCAGUGGGCACCAGGCUUUAGCCUCCCUUUCUCACCCUACAGAGGGCAGGCCCUUCAGCUCCAUUCUCCUCCAAGGCUGCAGAGGGGGCAGGAACUGGGGGUGACAGGAGAGCUGUAAGGUCUCCAGUGGGUCAUUCUGGGCCCAGAGAUGGGUGCUGAAGCUCCCACGCCUGCCUGUGAAAAUGGAGUCCUCUCUCACCUGGGAGAGCCAGGUGCUGCCCCGAGAAGGAUGCAUUUAUGGCUUCAUGAAGUCUUUCCUGACCCACGAUGCUGCUGACUAUAGAGACAAAGUCUCACUAUGUUGCUCAGGCUGGUCUUGAACUCCUGGCCUCAAGCGAUCCUCCCACCUUAGCCUCCCAAAGUGUUGGGAUUAUAGACAUGAGCCACUGCACCUGGCCGACCUUGGGCAAGUUCUUAAACCCUUCAAAGCCUCAUUUUUCUCCAAUCAUAAAAGGGAAAGAUGGUAAUAUUUUCCCCGCCAAAUUCUUGUCGGAUGCCCUCACAGAAUUGAGAUUAUGUACGCAAAACACCAGGUGCCUAACCCGGCACAGAGCAGGAGGGCUAAGUGUGACAUCCAGCACGUGGUCAGUGGAAUCCAGUAUUCCUACCCACCUCUCUAGUCUCCCCUCCACCCCUCUCCCUUUCAGAGGCACCAAGCUGCUUGUGGUCUUGUCUAUUCCCACUCCCUGCCUGACUGAACAUUUUCUCCACCUCCUGAUCAUCAGCAGCAGAAACUGGCUGCUCUUCCUCCUGGGUAGACAGCCAGACUGUAUUUCCCAGCUGCCCCUGCAGUGAGAUGUGGCCAUUGGAGCCAGCAUUGGCCAAUGGACUCUGCAUGGGAGUGACGCAUGCUGCCUCCAGGCUUGUCCCUAAAACCUCCCACGUGUCCUCCGCCUGCUCUUCCCACUUCCAAGGAGCACGGCAAUUGUGGAAGACUCAGAUUAGUGAUGGCAGAACCAUAGAUGGGAGGAACCUGGGUCCCUGACUUAAAGUAUCAUGGAUUUGGAUGUUCCCUUAGUGAGAAAUAAACUUCCAUUGUGUUUAAGCCUUUA
rnacentral:lncRNA from 1 species